UGUGGGAGCUGGCUUGCCUGCGAUGCAAGCGCCUCGGUGUGUCAGUGACACCGAGGUGAUGCUAUCGCAGGCAAGCCAGCUCCCACA
rnacentral:misc_RNA from 1 species